rnacentral:tRNA from 1 species
GCGACUGUAGCUCAGUGGUAGAGCACUCGGUUGUGGUCCGAGUUGUCGUGGGUUCGAUCCCCAUCAGUCGCCCCA